GGCCUCCCGGGAUGUCACGGGCUACGUGCCUCCAGGAACGUCAGGCGGCGCUCCUCCGGCGCACAGACGGGCCUCUCACGACGUCAUGGCGACGGGCCUGCGGCGCACAGACGGGCCUCCAGUGACGUCACGGCGACGGGCGUCUGGCGCACAUACGGGCCUCCCGGGAUGUCACGGGCUACGUGCCUCCAGGAACGUCAGGCGGCGUUCCUCCGGCGCACAGACGGGCCUCUCACGACGUCAUGGCGACGGGCCUGAGGCGCACAGACGGGCCUCCAGUGACGUCACGGCGACGGGCGUCCGGCGCACAUACGGGCCUCCCGCGAUGUCACGGCGACUUGCCUCCAGGAACGUCAGGCGGGGCUCCUCCGGCGCACAGAGAUGGGCCUCCCGCGACGUCACAGAGGCGGACCUUGGCGACCUCACGCGGAGGUAGGAGCUGGGUUGUCCUCUCCGCAGGGCAGAGCCUGGUCACCUCCACCUCCCGCUGCAUCCUGUGUGCUGCUCGCUGGAGAAGGGGAGAUGGAGUCUGUUUUUUUGUUUUUGUUUUUGUUUUCUUGAGAUGGAGUCUUACUGUUGUAGCCCAGGCUGGAGUGCAGUGGCAUGGUCUUGGCUCAUCCUGUAUCAUACCCACAGAGAGACCCUUUUUUUCUCCGGGGCCUGGGAAGCAACCAGGUUCCAUGAGUUAAAUGCAGAUCUGAACCAUACCAAGCCGGGAUUAAAGUACACACCCUCCUCUUCUGAAAAGUAGCUAAGGAUUCCAACUUGGUGUGGUGGAGAGUGUGGCAGAGCCAGACCAGACGAGGACUGAUCACCUGGAGAAGCAUGCUGUCAAAGGCCUUGAGACAGGGUUUCACCAUGUUGACCAGGCUGGUCUCAAACUUCUGACCUCAAGUGAUCUGCCCACUUUGACCUCCCAAAAUGCUGGGAUUACAGACAUGAACCACUGUACCCAGCCCCUUGAGUUCUGAAGGCCAGAAUUCUAAAGUCAGUCCCACUGACUCAAGGUGGGAGCAGGGCAGGCACCUUCCCAGGCUCUGUAGGAGAAUGAGUUUCCUGGCCCCAGAGGCUUCCUGCAGUCCUCAGCUUGUGCUGCCCUUCUUGAAUGACUCGAGGUUCCUGCUUCCAACACUACACUUCCCGUUGCUCUCCAUCACCUGCUCUGUUCUGAUAAGGAUCUGGGCUGGCUGCAGUCUUCAUUCCCUGCAACAUUUGUCUCCUGGGUUCAAGUGAUUCUUCUACCUCAACCUCCUGAGUAGCUGGGACUACAGAGAAAUGCAGUGAUGGUAUCACCAAUCUACAUAAACACAUUGAAGAACUAUCCAAAAGAAAAUAUGGGAUGUUGAAGAACUUUCUGAAAGAAAAUAUGGUAUGUCUAAACUGGAAAAGUCCUGUAAUACUUUGUUCAUGAGAGUUUACACAAUGGAGUCAGUGUUCAUCUUGUAGUGUCUGUCCAAGCAUUAGGAACAUUCUAUCUUUCUAGGUUACUGCAAAGCUAAGGAAAAGUUGUAUCUCUUAAAUUAUCAGUCAGCAUUUCUUUCAAACUUUCAGCAUGGAUAUUGGGGAUUCAUUUACAUAUUUAUUGCAAAGCCCUGGAUCUUAGGGAUUUAAUUAAUAUUGUUUAUUUUUAAACUAAUGGUUUCUCUUUAUCUGCUUUGUUAAAUUCAGUAUUUGGUCAGGCAUGGUGGCUCAUGCCUGUAAUCCCCGCACUUUGGGAGGCCAAGGUGGGCAGAUCACGAGGUCAGCUUGGCCAAGUCUCUUAUCCUGUCUGAGGCUUAGUCUGCUCUUUAGUGGUCGUGAGAACUGAAGAUCUAUCUGGAAGAUUUGAUAACAUGCUACAGUGCUUCACAUAACACCGGGUAUAUAGAUACAUAAUAAAUGCAUCUUCCUUAUGUUUGUAUUUACUUACUUAUUUUUUGAGACAGAAUCUUGCUCUGUUGCACAGACUGGAGUGCAGUGGCAUGAGAUCUUGGCUCACUGCAACCUCUGCCUCACAGUUUCAAGCAAUUCUCCUGCCUCAGCCUCCCAAGUAGUGGGGUUCGUAGGCGUGCACAACCAUGCUCAGCUAACUUGUGUAUUUUUAGUAGAGAUA